GGGGCCGCCAAAUGGGAGGGAAGGUUCAAAUAGGAGUCGGGAGGCCGGGGCGCCGUGGCGUAGCCUAGAGCGUCUCCAUGGCGGAAAAGUGCGGCGAUGGCAUCCACUCCGUCGAGUGCCUGGAGAAGAACUUCAUGGCUUUGCAAAAGAAAAUGGAAGAGGAUUUCUCCCAAGUGGAGACCAUUCAGACAAAGGUAAAAGCUUUGAGUGCCGACUGGGAGGAACGACACCAGCAGUUGAAGAUAGAGCAGGAAAAGGUGGCAGAAUUGGAAGCCCAGAUAAAGCAGCUGAAUACUAAGCAGGAAGAAGUCAUGGCUUCCCUUCAAGCGGAUAUGCUCCGUGCUGCCAGCCAGAUCCAAGAGAAGGAAGGGCUGGCGGAGCGACUCAGGUCAGAAGUUGCCUUUCUGGAGAAGAGGGUGAGGGUGGCCUGUCAGGAGGCUGCCGGGAGCGCUGCCGAAUUGGAAAAAGGAGCUCACGAGGCCCGGCUGGCUUUGGAGGCCACUCUGUCCACUCUCUGUCCGCAGCUGGACAGAGAGGAAGUAGUGAGUGAAACCUUGCAGCCUGAGCAGGAGGCCCCCCCGCCGCCGCCGCGUGAACAAUUCCUGUGUGGCCAGGACACCGAGUGCCCAGGAAAGGCUGAAGGAGUGGAAGCCAAAGCAGAAGAAGCUCUGCAAGGGCAGCCACAGGAGGCAGUGGGUGGCCUGCAGGAAGAGAAACACCUGUGAUGGCAGCAGACUUCCAGAAAUGAACAGAGCAGGAUGACAACAUGGUUGCAGGAUACAAAACCGGAGCAAAAGCUCACCAGACGAGCCGCUUACGUUCUUCUAAGUUGAAGAAGGAAGUGUUGAGCAACGGAGCCAGCCUCGUCCUACAGAAGGGCAAGAUCCUGCUACAAAAGACAGGCAAAUGACAGGAACAAGGUAGGACUUUCUGAUUGACUUCAGGAAAUUGCCUUGUAAUUUUGUGUUAAAUUAUUUUGGCGGGAGAAAAUGCUCCAAAGUCUGAAACGAGCCCGGCCACCUCUCUCUGAGAUGGGACAGUGCUGACGGUUGCCCUUGGCGGUAGAAAAAGUACUGGGCAAAGAUUAAAAAAAAUGGCUAGAGGAAAUGGUAAAACAACAAACAGAAAUAAAGCCAGAGUUAUUUCUAUUAGGCAUACUAACAGGGAAAUAUAAUAAAAAAAAAAUUCAGUAUUUCAUGCUACAUGUAAUAACAGCGGCUAGAAUUAUGUAUGUACAAAAUUGAAUUAGAACUGCAGAAAAAACAAUUCCUACCAACCUGCCUUCCAUGGAGGACCUGUGUACUGCACGAGUCAAAAAGAGGGCUGGGAAAAUAUCUACAGACCCCUCGCAUCCUG